CCCAAACACAAUAAGCGUUUUAAUUUUUCCACUCUCCUCAACGGUCGCUUCUUCUCCUCCUUUCCUUUUCUUUACAAAAAUUUCAAUGUUGCUCAGCCAUGGCAGACUUGCCAUUACCAUUUUAGAACAAGAAGCUCUGCACCUCAUUUAAUUCUUCUGCAAGAUCAACGUUCAAAUUUCAAACGGUUCAAUAGCUUUGACUCCAUUUCAAAAUCAAAAUCUGAAGAAUUCCCGCUCAAGAAGCCCUAUCUCAAAUCUGCCGCUAUAAAUACCCGUGUUUGGCAAUAAUUUUGGGACAACUCGGAGCCGCCGCUCUUCCCCUCUAUAAAUCAUCCUUUGCCUAUUAACUGAUAUUCAUCUCAGAAGUCAGAAAAGCUUCAUUCUUUUGACUCCCCUGCUGUUUCUGUUGGGUAUUUAACCUUGCAUAAAAUCGAUUAUCUUUAUUUAUUUUAGUCGAAUCUGCUUUUGUCCGAGGCGAAGGAGCGGGCUUGAAAUCGGAAUCUAAGAUCCGUGCCUCGGUUCGCUGCUCCGCAAUAGGCGGAGUCUUAAUGCAAGACUCUCCCAUACCCGAGCAUGGAGUAAUCACAUCCCACACUCCUAUAGAUACACCGGAUAGCAAGAAAAAAAAAGUGAAACGCUUGGGGCGCCUAUGGCGUCUUUCUUAUCUUUUUAUUGCAUUCAUUUUAUAUAACUUCUUUAUGACCGCUGUUUUAUUUGUACUUGUGCUUUUCUAAUGUUUAGCAUAUGUUUUGGUAAUUAAGUUUAUUUAAUUAUUUCUGCCAAAUAGAAUACUCAUUUAUCACAUAGGAUUAACAUUAACUUAUAUGAAGACUUGAAACCUUCUCUUUAUUUCUACUUUCUAACUCGUGAACACUCAAGGAUUUGGAUUCUGCCAGGGUCUUGGUAAGUCUUUUGAUAUGAAUAACGUAUCCAGAUUUGAGUUUUAAACCAAAAUAAGUUCUUUUCAAACAUCUAAGUUCUUUUGGCUUUGGUGUAUUAAACCAAGAAUUUUUUUAAGACUAACCAAUUAACAACCUAAGUUUGAUCGGUUAACCGUUAUUAACGGAUCAUAUAACCUGUACUCAUAAUCUUUAGGUUAAGACCAUAAAAGCGGAGUUAACUUUUUAAUAAAAUAAGGUUUCCUAAUUCACCCUUAAUCAAUUAGGUGGCGAAUCUUUUAAUCAAUUAAACCUCUAGAACUACCAAUAGGUUAUGUUCUAAUUUGACCCGUGUUAAAAUGGGGUAUAACAAUGCUUAUAUGUUGUACGAGUAUGUGACUUCGGGAAAUAUGUUGGAGAUUUAUGUGUAGGUUAAUCUCCAUUUCAAACAUGAUAAUUUCUAUUUGUGGCAUAUCCGUCUAAUCUGAGCCGUAGUUGUACACUUCAAACAUGCAUACACUUGUAUUUCACUUUCGGUAUUCUAGACUGGUUUGACAACAAGUGAGUUGUCCGUGCGGGUUGAGUUGGUUGUGGCAUGUGAGUUGUCCGUACGAUUUUUAUAGCACCUACAUUGUCCGUGCAGCAUGUGGAUAAGGAUUCAUCCCCCUAGGUGAUCGUCCUCUCAUGUUUCUCCUUUAUUACACACGGUUGUGAAAAACUAAUCAGUGUUGGAUAGGUAUCUCUCCUCUAUAUGCAAAUUUCUUGGGUGUAUACAUGAUUUUACUGCAUAUCUCCUCUAUAUGCUGGCUUCGUACCUAUGUACUGGCCUUUUUAUGCAUAUCUUCUCUAUAUGCUAAACGGUUAUCUUGUUUAAUUUUCAUUCAUAUCUUCUCUAUGUGCACCAUGAGCUUUACUAGAAGUUAUGCAUAGAUUUUGGUAUUGUUACUGCGUUUUUGUAUGUUUCAUGACUUGUAUAGAUUUCAUCAAGUGAGUAUCAUUGGUGAUUCUUGCGACUACCUCUCUAAGGUUAGUCAUGAUACUUACAGAUUACAUGGGGUCAAUUGUACUCACACUAAACUCUGCACUUAAUUUUGCAGAUCCAAGUGUGGGCCCUAGCUGAGAGCUUAGAUCAUUGUUUAGUUGCUGAGAGACGAGGUAACUGCAUCCUGUUUGCAAACCUUGGCGUCUCUUUUCAAUUCAAUUACUGUUAUUAUCAGACUAGUACUCCUAUUGUAGAGCUCAUGACUCUAUACUACCAGUUAUGGGAGAUUUAUUGUAUUGGCGUAGUCUUUAUUUAUGAUAUUUUUGCUUCUAGACUUGUAUUAUUUUGUAAUUCGCUAUCUUGAUUUGUUAUUUUUAUGCUUGGCUGACCUAGCAAGAGAGUUAGGCGCCAUCACGACCGGAUGGUAGUGUUGGGUCGUGACAGUUAUAGUGUGGAAUGGGAUGAUAUUCACGUAGUAAGUCGUUUCGAGUUCUACCUUCCCAUUUCAUGAUUGAGACUUUACAUAGCGUUAAUUAUUUAUUACUUGCGUGCGUGGUUCGUUUUGUUUUCCGAAAAGUUUAAAUGUGAUUUUUCAAAGAAAGCCUGAUUUUUGAACUUGAAAAUGGUUGGAGUUGGCCACAGUCAACAUUAUUGAUAAACGACCUCAGAUCGGUGUUUUGAUAAUUUUGGUAGGUUUGUAUGAUGAUUUUGGACUUGUACGCACGUUUGGUUGAGUCACAAGUGACCCGAAGUUGUUUCAGCACCAAUUUUAAAACGUUGAGAAUUUGAACUUAAGAACUUUGAAAUCUUUGAGUUUUGAUGCUUAUUUCUUGAUUUCAAAUGUUAUUUUAGCAUUUUGAGCUUGCAAGAGAGUUUGUAUAAUGUUAUUAUACUUGUGUGGGUGUUUGGAGUGGGCCCGGUGGGCUCGGGUGAGUUUCAGAUCAUUUUUUGGCAUUGUUGAGUUAACUGAUUUUCUGGUGUUUCAUAGUGCUUCGUGAUCGCAAAGUAUGUCUCGCGAUCGUAAAGGGAGAAAUUAGGGCAGGGGUGAUUUACACUACGCAAACAUGAGGGGAAGCUCGCGAACGCGAGGUCCUGGGCGAAUUGGCCGCAAACGCGGCAAACCUCACGCGAACGCGCAUGCAUGGGAGAUCUUGGGGACUGUCAAUUGGUUCUUCAUCGCGAACGCGACCAGUGGAUCGCCAACGCGAAGGCUUGGGAGGGGAGAUUCCUUGGCGAAUGCGAGGAGCCAUCACAAACGCGAAGAACACCCGAAGCCCAGAUUCUAGUUGUUUGGAGGCUUGUGCUAAAGGAGAAGCAGUAUUGGAUUGUUGAUUUGGUUCCAGAAAGAGGUAAAGUAUCGUAGUUAACCUUAAUUUUUAAGAAAUUAGGUGUAUCAUGCAUAUGCAAGGUGACGAGUGCAUAUGUGAAUAAAGCAUACGGGUGGAACUAGUUUAUUUUAUGUCUCAUAUAUUACAUGUUCGUACAUGUUCUAUACCUUAAUCUACUACAUAUUUUACUUGUUCCAUGCCCUUAUUUGUUCUUACUUGACACAUGAUUUACAUGCUGUGCCUUUACAUGACACAUGUUCUUACUUGCUAGCCUUUAUAUGAUUCAUGUCUUCUGUUGAAUACGUGAUUUCGCUUGUCAUAUGCUUUUACUUGUUCAUGCCUAUAAAAUGACUUUACUAGACUUGUUCCAAACCAUAAUUGUUUCAUGCCUUACUUUCCUACGUUAUGUUUGGGAUUGUACGAUCAUUUAAUCGUUUGUAUGCUAAAUACCUUAUUUGGAUCCUUACUGUGCUACAUGAGUAUGAUUAGCUCUAGAAAUUUGGGAUUUGCCAUUUCUCAUCCUUUCCAUAGUAAAUUGUGCUUAUUUAUUCUUCUUGUUAAUUAUUAUGAAAUUUGCAAUAUAUGCAUGUGUUGUUGGAUGAUUCUAUGUGAGUCGCUAUGUUGGAUCGGGUUGCCACUGCAACAAUAUUAUGAUAAUGAUCGGGUUGCUCGCCGCAACAAUAUGGCCAUGGGAUUAGGUUGCCGCCGCAACAAUGUUUGUGUGUGUGUUGGCUCGGAUGUGCGCCACAAUGUAUGUGUUAUGAGAUGUUAGUGUUGUUUGUGAUAUAGCCUUCCUUGUUGCUUUUGGUUGUGCUUAUUACGUGUAUUGUUUCUUCGCCGUUUAUUUGAGCUUCCGAGAAGGAUUUUUGUUGCUCUAUUCAAGAAAUGUGGUUAUCACUUUUGUAAUAUGAUUCUUUUUACUAUUUCCUACUUUUAUUCUUGUUAUUAUUAUUAUUACCUCUAUUGCUAUUUCUAUUGCUAAUUAAUUAUUACCUCUAUUGCUAUUUCUUAGCCCCGUCACUAGCUUGUCGAGAUUAGGCUCAAUACUUACAAAGUACAAGGUUAGUUGUAAUCAUACUACAUGCAUGCACUUCUUGUGAAGAUUCUGGUAUGGGUCCUAGAAGUAUCCAGUGAAGAUUCUGGUAUGGGUCCUAGAAGUACAUGAGGUAGUGUUGCUUUUCGUCCGCAGACUUCGGAGUCACAUUUGCUCUUGUUAUUGGUAUUUUCUUGUAUCAAACAGUAUUACAUUUUAUUUCAGACAUUAUAUGUAGUAUUCUUAUUAGCUCAUGUACUCCGUAAAACCAAACAUCGUUUGGUGUUAGAUUUAUUUAUAUAUAUUUCUGAGUA